rnacentral:rRNA from 1 species
GUGACUGCGUACCUUUUGUAUAAUGGGUCAGCGACUUAUAUUCUGUAGCAAGGUUAACCGAAUAGGGGAGCCGCAGGGAAACCGAGUCUUAAUUGGGCGUUAAGUUGCAGGGUAUAGACCCGAAACCCGGUGAUCUAGCCAUGGGCAGGUUGAAGGUUGGGUAACACUAACUGGAGGACCGAACCGACUAAUGUUGAAAAAUUAGCGGAUGACCUGUGGCUGGGGGUGAAAGGCCAAUCAAACCGGGAGAUAGCUGGUUCUCCCCGAAAGCUAUUUAGGUAGCGCCUCGUGAAUUCAUCUCCGGGGGUAGAGCACUGUUUCGGCUAGGGGGCCAUCCCGGCUUACCAACCCGAUGCAAACUGCGAAUACCGGAGAAUGUUAUCACGGGAGACACACGGCGGGUGCUAACGUCCGUCGUGAAGAGGGAAACAACCCAGACCGCCAGCUAAGGUCCCAAAGUCAUGGUUAAGUGGGAAACGAUGUGGGAAGGCCCAGACAGCCAGGAUGUUGGCUUAGAAGCAGCCAUCAUUUAAAGAAAGCGUAAUAGCUCACUGGUCGAGUCGGCCUGCGCGGAAGAUGUAACGGGGCUAAACCAUGCACCGAAGCUGCGGCAGCGA